UUAUAGUGCUUUUUAAUUUUUUGCCAUUCAUGUUCUUACAAUGUACAAUAUAUUACUCAGAUGCUUCAUUUGAAGUAGCCGACUGUUUGUAAGGUUUUAUGAUACAUGUACACCUUUGAAUUGUAUUAUCCAACAAGUAUGACAUGCUUCAGAAGUUUUGUCCCCACCAGACAUCACCCUAAGUUGAGAAGAAUGAGCCGUAUGGAGGGUCUGAGGGCCAACUCGUCUCAGUUCACUCUGGAGGGAGAACCCUUCCGCAUCCUGGGGGGCUCCAUCCAUUACUUCCGUGUCCCCAGAGCCUACUGGGAGGACCGGCUGCUAAAGAUGAAGGCCUGUGGCCUCAAUACUCUCACAACAUAUGUACCAUGGAAUCUGCAUGAGCCUGAGAGAGGAACAUUCAACUUCCAGGAUCAGUUGGACCUCAUGGCCUAUGUCAGUUUAGCCGCAGAGAUGGGUCUGUGGGUGAUCCUACGUCCUGGACCUUACAUCUGCGCUGAAUGGGACUUGGGCGGGUUGCCUAGCUGGUUGUUACAAGAUAAAGGCAUGCAGUUGAGGACAACUUAUCCUGGAUUUGUAAAUGCUGUCAACAACUACUUUGACAAGCUUGUCUCUGUAAUCAAACCUUUGAUGUUUGAAGAGGGAGGCCCAAUCAUUGCAGUUCAAGUUGAGAACGAGUAUGGCUCAUAUGCCAAAGAUGAGAAAUACAUGCCAUUUAUACAGAACUGUCUACAGUCCAGAGGGAUCAAGGAGCUCCUGCUGACUUCAGACAACUGGGAGGGCCUGAGAUAUGGAGGCAUGGAGGGAGUACUAAAAACAAUAAACCUUCAGAGACUGUCGUUUGGAGCUAUCCAGCACUUAGCUGACAUGCAGCCCCAGAAACCUCUUAUGGUGAUGGAGUAUUGGUCUGGCUGGUUUGAUGUCUGGGGAGAACAUCACCAUGUGUUCCAUCAUGAGGAUAUGCUAGCUGUUGUGUCAGAGAUCCUGGAGAGAGGUAUCUCCAUUAAUCUAUACAUGUUCCAUGGGGGAACCAGCUUUGGCUUCAUGAAUGGAGCGAUGGACUUUGGCACCUACAAACCUCAGGUCACCAGUUAUGAUUACGACGCUCCGCUAUCUGAGGCUGGAGACUGCACACCAAAAUAUCAAGUCUUGAGGAAUUUAUUCAGCCAGUACUACUCUGCGCCUCUUCCUGAAGUGCCCUCUCCUCGGGAGAGGAGAGCAUACGGCCCUGUUGCCAUCCAGCAGCACCUGUCACUGUGGGACAGCCUGCACUUCACUGACAAGCCAUACAGGUCAGAGAGGCCGGUGAACAUGGAGAAUCUCCCUGUUAACAAUAAAGAUGGUCAGUCAUAUGGUUACACACUGUAUGAAACCACCAUCACCAAUGGAGGAACCCUCACUUCCAGAAACAACAUCAGAGAUAGAGCACUGGUGUUUGUGGACAGACAAUGUGUUGGUAGUUUGGACUACAAGACUCAUGAACUGGCACUCCCUGAUGUACAGGGAGAGAAGACCUUGAGCUUGCUUGUGGAGAAUUGUGGAAGAGUGAAUUAUGGUAAAGCUCUGGACGAUCAGCGCAAAGGCAUCGUGGGUGACAUUCUGUUGAAUCACGCCCCUCUUAGAGGAUUUACCAUCUUCUGUUUAGACAUGAAGCCAGGCUUUAUGAAAAGAUUAAUGAGUUCAGGUCAAUGGAAGUCUGACUUCAAGUCGCCCUCCAUUCCAGGAUUUUUCCAGGCCAGACUGUAUGUGGAUGGUCCUCCCAGAGACACCUUCAUCAUACUGCCUGGUUGGGGUAAAGGAGCCGUGUUUGUCAAUGGGCAGAACCUUGGACGUCACUGGUUCAUUGGUCCCCAGCAUUUCCUUUAUCUCCCAGGACCUUGGCUCAGAAGUGGAGAAAAUCAGAUAGUUGUUUUCGAGGAACAAAAAGCGGAUGACAAAAUACUGUUUGCUGAAAAUCCUGAUCAUGGAAAGACAAUUGAUGUUUACAAACUCCCCUUUUGCACACUGCUGUAAAAAUAAUGUACAGCAACAACACACUUUCAUGCACACUAUAUGGAGAUAUACGUUUAUUGAUACAGUUUUUCAUAUGAUUUAAAGUAUGACCUUUGCUCUGAUUAGAAAUAACGACGUUUGACCCAGAGUGGCUCUGGUUUGACCCUUUGACAGCGUGACACGCCCUCACAAGCUUCUCAUUGGACCAGAGACUUGUACUUCAUACAUACACUUGAUACACUGUUAGAGCGACACUCUCUCUAAACACAGAUCCACACACAGCCAAAUCAAUUUCACCAGAAACAAAGCCCGGUAACCGGAAAAGAUGUCCUCCUUUACUUCACAAUAAAGGGUAAACAUAUUUAUACUGCCCAACACGGACAAAUAUCUAUGAUUUCAUUUCUGGCAAGUACUAUUGAAGUAAUAGUCAUAUUUCUUUGAUUAUAUGAAUAUGGAUAUGCAUAUGGUUGAAGUUAUAGAAAAUAUAUAAUAAACCCCAAUUAUAACCUGUAAUAUGGA